CGAAUUUGUUGCAUUUCCUCCAUUGAUUGUUUAGUCAGAGGUUUUGCCAACUUCCUGAUGGUUCGUUUUCUGAUUCCGAAAAAAAAAAAAAAAAAGAAAAGAAAAAAAAAAGAACCGCAUUUCCUUUUUGACUUAAGAGGGAGAGAGAGAGAGAGGAGCGGAGGCUGGGGGCUGGAGGACGCAUCGAGCUAUCCCUGGUCCCGAUUGUGAACUUGGCAGCGACUGCUCGGCGUGAAUAACCCCAGUGGCCACUAACCAGGAACACCUGCCGGCCCCGUUACCCGGAACGGGAGGAGAAGAUGGGCAUCUCCAGCGGAAUUCCACCGCGGAAUAUGGAAGUGUUUAAAGGAAGACCUUCCCCGCUCAGGGUAGCAGAGAUCUGAACCUUUAAAUUGCAGCCAUCCCCGGCCUGACGAUAACUUUUCUUGAAGCUAUGGCAGGAGCUGUGCUCAAAAUGGUGCCGUGGGAAUCUGCAUCCCAGGUCAGGAGACCAGACAUCAAAUUCCUGGUGCAUCUUGGCAGCUGGGAACGCUCCACAAACCAGGAAUGCUCCAGCAAACCCUGCCAAAGCAGCUGCUGGGAGCACAUCACCAGAGACAACCCACCCCUGGCUGAAGCCAAAGCUCCACAGUCCAUGUGAAAUCCCACCUGCAAUUCUGCAACUGCUUGUGAAGAACUGAGUCUGCUCCUCACAAAAUGCAUUUUAGCUGCCCUCCUUAGGGAUUUCAGGCUUAUGCAGUCCCUGUGUCUGGGUUGUAUCUGUGUAUCCAUCUGUCAAACGGGAUCAAUGAGCCAAACUCUCCCUAAAUAUUAACUUCCUACAUGUUUCAUUAAAUAGUCAGAGGCAGAAAUUUGGCUUAAUGUCCUCCAUAAAGGGAAAUCUGGAUUGCCUGUCUGUGCUGUAAAAAUCAUACACAAAUCCACAGGGCAUCAAAUGAGGCUCACAGCACAAAUCUUUAAUUUUUCCUCAUAAAACCAUGGGUUUCAAAUGUGCUGUAUAAUAAAGGGAGUGAAACACCUGCA
rnacentral:lncRNA from 1 species